GUCUAUGGCCAUACCACCCUGAAUGCACCUGAUUUCGUCUGAUCUCGGAAGCUAAGCAGAGUCAGGUGUGGUUAACAUUUGGGUGGGAGAAGAGAAGAGCAACAUUCCCCAUGCU
rnacentral:rRNA from 1 species